GUGGGUUUACAAGGGGCAUGUGCUCUUCCAUUGAAACUCGCUUUCAACUAUUUUACAGUUCGACUGUCCGAAAACUGAACAGAAAAUGAAAGCGUUUCAUUCAAAACGCUCGUUGAUCUCCGAGAUUUCACCUCUACUUUCUUUUUAUAACGCCGCCCAUCUGAGAUGUUUUGGAAGUUUCGCUCGAAACCCUGCAAAAUUUCCUGAGCCCUUAUACCGAAUAAUCAGGGAGGAGAAGCGUAUGGUGGACUAGAUCCACGCUGCCGCAGAAGAGAUCGCCUGCCUGAGGGCCAAGGUGGCGGAGCUAGAGCAGUUCGAGACAGAGCUGAAGGCCAGGGUGGAGGAGCUAACUAGACAGGGGUGAGAGAGACGGAGGAGAUGCUCGGUGACGACAUACCACGAGCCCCGAUAAAAUUUUCCCCAAUUUUCCCUUCUCUUUUCCUCAUUAUUUUUUAAGGAAAAUAGUAGGGAAAACAACAUGAUAUUUUCUUUAACAUUUUCCUUUAUAUUUUUUUUCCAUCAUACUUUCCGUCUCAUCCAAACUAAAGAAAAUAAUUUUCCACAAGAUUUUUUUUCCUUUCCUU